GGUUGGUGUAGCAUUCGCUUUCCAAUCCAUCUCUCAGCUGUCUCUCUCUAGCCUGCCUCCUUCAUCCAAGGAACUGCAUCUGGCCUUCUCCAUGGCCACGGCUGCUACCCAAUAUGUCUUCCCGCCGGUGGCCGCUGCUCGGCCUCUGCCCCUGCGUUGCUGCGGCUGCUGACAGCAGUGCCGGUGGCGACUGGCCACUCCGGCUGCUACUCUGCGUGCGCUGCUGUGAUCUCUCCUUACCGCGCAGCCGGCCCUCACCGCCACUGGGGAUCUCGCCGGCGAGAGUCUCCUCUACGGCACCCGUCGGUGGCGGCUGCUCUGCUUCAGCCUCUGCCCCUGCGUUGAGGCAGCCGUGCGGAUCUGCCGGCUGCCGGCAGCAGUCCUGCCGGUGCCUUGCGCUAAUCUUCUCCUGUCGACAGAUGCGGCUGGGCUGAUCCGCCGGCUGCCGAAAGCACUCCCGCCGGUGCCCUAAUCUGUGCCCGCGGACAGCUGCGGCUGCGCUGAUCCGCCGGCUACCAACAGCAGUCCCGCUGGCGACCGGCUACUUCGAUCCGUCUGCUGCUACUCCCUGCGACCUCUCCCUCCCGUGCUGCAGGCUCUCACCGCCACCGAGUUCUCGCCGGCCAGAGUCUCUCUGUUGCACCCGCUGGUCAUAAAAUUCCUCAUCUGCUCUGCUCGUCUCAGAGCUCCUGAUCUGUUUUCUCGUCGCGCCUGCCUUCUCUCUUGCUUUCUCUCUCGAGUUUUUUUCUUCAGGGAUUCUCUCUCGAGUUAGUGCCCCACCCACCACCAGCAGCAAUCAGUACAACUGUACAAAGAUGCGACCUCGUGUCGUUCUCGAGUUUUUUUUUCUCGAGUUAGUGCCCAGCCCACCCACCACAGUAGCAGUAGUCAUCCAAAAAAAAAAGGAUGUGACCUCGUCUGUUCUAUUGCGUUUUGCGUUUGAGUUGGUUUCCCGUCAAAGGAAACACUCGACUCGGGCGUGGGUGCAGGCGUCCACAUGCAACUAGCCCUAAUCCCCAUCUAAAAAAAACUAAACCUCAUACCAGCCGUGGUUUAACCGAACCGGGGCCCAUAUUAAACGAUAGGAUAGAUCUGCCUCUCAUCCCCUACCCCGACACCCGAUGCUGGAUCCUUCUUGCCGGCCGGCGGCCAUAUGCUUCUGGAUCUACAUGCACUGCCUCUCAUCUCCAUGGACUAUGGUGGCCGGCAUUUUCCUCUCGUCGUUGGUUCCGUCAACAAGCCGACGGCCACGAAUUAAGUAAGUACUCAGACAUAUACAUACCGUGUCCUUUGUUGUGUAUAAAUGCGCGUCGAUCCAAACUAUCCCUUCCCUUAAGAAAAUAUACCAGAAAUUUCACAUUAACUACACGGCAUCUGUUAGUUUUUCAAUUCCUAUCUUUCUGUGGGCAUUGAUCCGUGGUAUAUACACAUAUUGGAGGCACCAUCGCUCGGGUUGUGCAACGGCCGGUGGCGAGAUCUACCUGCCCAAAUGUCUCUCGUGAUAAUUGGAUUCAAGCUCCCUCUCAAACACUGAGUUUCUAUAUAGAGACAUCCGGCCAUGAUAAUACAUUUUCAUUUAUUGGUUGCAAUAAGGUCCGGCCUUCAAACAGUAGGUAAUACUCUACUACUAUAUUUUAUUGUUGUUGCUAAUACUUGCUAGAUUUCUUCACAUUAUCCCUUUAAAUUGUUUUUGCUUUUACCUGUUUUCACUUUUGUUCUACUCUCCACUUGCCAUAGCCGGCUUUCUUUUAAUUAGCCACGAUUCAUUUUCACCUGUCGUUCAGUAGUGGCAUGUAUAACAAACAGAGGCGUGCAGUCAGCACAGAGGUAUGUUAGAUGUGUGUCCCUGUUAAUUUGUAAACUGAGUGUCCGCAUCUGGUUCCAAAUAGUUUGGUUGAAGUAAAUGUAUUAUACUUAUGCAACUUCCAUGUAAGGAUAAUUAAACUAGUACUCACUAGUCAUUAUUAACACUAGCAAAAAUGCAUGUGCGUUGCAGGGAAAAAAAUAUAUCAUGUUGCGUGAUAAUUCGAAAGCGUACAAAUUAUUGUUACAGAUAUAACAAUGUUGUUACAAAAAAAGAUUGUAAAUGAGUCAAUUAUUCGCCCAUGACGGUGCAAAUGAUCUCUUAGCAGUAAAAACAACACAUCAUGUGCUUAAGACAUCACUACAUGUUAUGUUUCUUAAGAUAGGCCCAAAAAGUUGAAAAUAGUAUGUCAACAAAAUAAGAUAAAAAAUAAUAAAGUAUAUUUUUAGUGACAAAUAUAUAAACUCAUAAAGGAAUAAAGUAUUUUUUAGUGACAAAUAUAUGAAAGUAAGAUACAUUAUAUAGUAUUGGUGCUCAUCAAUCUUCUCUCGCACAUCCCAUGAUGACUUGGGGACUACACAUGAGCAAUCAGUGGUUACCAAGCUCUCACACAUGUACUGGAUAGCAUCUUGGUCAGCUGGAGAUAAUAAGAACAGAAUGUCAAAACUUCGAAGGCAAAGAUCCAAAGAAGAAACAUACUGAACUCUUGAAACACAUCUUCUAUGCAAUUUCUUAAAUUGUUUCUCACGCAAACUUACUGUACCAAUCACUUCCUUUGACCGUAUCAUAUAUAUGCCACCUAUAGUCAUCUUCAGACGUCCAGAAUAUCUUAUCUCAGUCAGCUUGGCGUAACACACAGCCAGGACGGAUGGUUUUGGAGUCCUCUGAACCAUGCUCAUCAAGCCAUUUCUGUCCUCCACAGAUCGGAAGGCUUUCCGGGACAGGGAAAGUUCUGCAGCAAUCUUCAGUUGUUCAACCCUAGUAUCAAGGUACAACUAACAGCUUUCAGGGCAGUCAGAUCAGGACGAUCUCGAGAUUUGUUCAGAUUUGAUGGUUUCUGAUCAUGUCACACAGCCUACGUAACUCGAUGGAUCUUUUGUACUGCUUGCAAAACUAAAAGGCAUUGUGCGCAGCCAUGGCAUACAACGCUUGAAGCUUGGAGUUGUUCCUCAACACCUCCAGCGCCGUCAUGUAUGUGUCCCACAGAAACUUGAGCCAUGGAGUGUCAGAUCGGCCCUUCCCGCUGACGUAACUGAGCAUUAGGUCCUCUGGUGCUUCCAGAUCAUGGACAUUGAGAGCCUGUGCCUGGUGAUUCAUGGCCGCCUCCCCAGCUUUCUUGUUGGACAGAUGCAUGAAGUGUUUGACAACAUCCUCCAGAGUCGACACAUUGUUGAGUUCCUGCUGGCAGACGAUUCUGGAGUACUGAAUGAGGCCGUCCUUGGCGAAUCUGCCUUUCCUCAGAUCCACGCACAGCUCCAUGUACCUCUUCAUGACCUUCUCAAGAGGCUUCUGCCAUGACCAACAUCUUUUUGACGUGAUGAGAUCGUGCAGCGCUGCAGGCGCUGCCGGCUUCUGCCCGACGUGGAUCAACUCAUCUGCUUUCUUCAGAGCGCUCGAGCAGAGGGACGCGAGGGGGUGGCGAAGGAUACGCGAGGGGGCGCGAGGGAGCGACCGAUGGCUGGCGGAGGGAGGCGAGGGGGAGGUGAAGGACAGGCGAGGGGACGCGGGGAAGCGACCGACGGCUAGCGACGGAUUGGUGUUUGUGCAGGGGUUGGGGGAAAAUCAUGCUGGUGGCUCGUUCGACAACCAGGGACGAAUCCUUUUUCUCACCUAGCGGUGGCAGAAGCUUUGUAAAUUCUGCGACAUGAACCGUGGGUUUAUUUCCAUAAAAGUCAAGGACACUUUUGCAAAAACACCGCGACGGUGAACCCGACAGACUCAAUCCGUGAUUUAUUAUUAGGGAAAGAUUUUGAGUUUAAUGUUCUAUCUAUUUAUAACUAUCAAAUUUCUUUAAAACACAUCUGAGCAAAAAGUACAACAAUUAUGUUGGCGUGUAAAGUUUCGUAUCGGUUUCCUUUGCUGUUUGUCACAAAUACAAAUGUUUGUCACAAAUACAAAAUUGCAUUUAAUUGCUACUACUUGUUAUAUUUGUGUGUGCCACAUUCCAACGGGUUUUCUUUGAUUAUUUUUUGGUCUAACAUUGUAUACUGUUGUAAGUAGUAUUUUUUUACUAAAAUGUUAGAAAUUGAUAUCCAAAUUUAAUUGGUGUUGCUACACCCAACUCAUUUAAAAUAUUAUGUUUUUUCAGUUGGUUUCAUCUUUGAACUUAUGUCAUGUUCACGAUAAUUUCCUAGGGAAAAAUAAUAUUAUUCCUUGAUUCCUACAAAAUCCAUUUCUUGUGCGUUUGUAAGAGAUAUAGUUAUAGGCAUUCCAUUGGAUUGAAAAUGAUCUUCUUUGGCUUAACAUUAAUUUCACGGAUGCAAACAUCCAUUUGCCCUCUCGCUUCCAUAAAAUUUGAGCGGUAACAUGUUGUAAGGUGCCGAAGUGUUAGGUUUAGCUAACACACAUGAAAUUGGGGGGAAAUUGAAAUUUUGACUAAGAAUAUCAUCUUAGUUAUUCAAAUUUAAUAUUUCUAUGAAUCCUAUAAUUGUUUUCUUGAUUUACAUAGGGUUAGUGCUUUUGAUGUCCAAAACAUUACUUUUUGUGAUAUGGAGGGAGUAAUGAUCUUUGUUGUCCUUUAUUCUGAUUUCUGGAUGUCAUAGGUCUCUCCGAGCUUCGUUUGAUUCGUCUUUGUCUACCUACCUUCAACUGCACAUGACAGUCUCAAUUUUUUCUCCAUCUACUUCGUCUCUCUCGAUUCCUCCUUCCUUCAGUUUGUUUGUUCAUCGUGCUGAUUGGUUACAUAUAGUGAUGGCGGUUGGUUAUAUAUUUUAUGGCGGUGGAUGAAACAUUAUUUGGAAUACCCCGUAAAGAAACCAGCCGCACGAAGGAGAAAUAAAUCAUUGGUGAGUUUUUUUAAUUAUGGUACCUUGAGUAGGUACACAUUUGAGUUGUGGCUACCAUUUCUUCAGAUGAUAAAGUUUAUCAAUUUCCUUUUUAUAAAUAGGAUUGAGUUUAUCAGGCUAUUAGAGUUUUGUUUUCGGUCAUAAAUUUAAAUGGUAUACAAUAUAAUAUGAUUUUGACUAAUAUGAUAUAAUUUAUCUAGCUAUCGGAGUUUUACUUCGGAUCAUAGAUACGAGAUGAUAUGAUAAACCAUGAUUCUUGAUGAAUAUGAUUGAAUUUAUCUAGCCAUUGGACUUCUAUUUUUCUUUGUCACAGAAUAUGAGAUGUAAACUAUGUCUCCUAGACUAAAUAUAAGUCACAUAAUUAUGCAUGCAGCCAAAGUUUUAGAAUUUGAAUUUGUCUUCCAGAAUUUUGUUUAUAUCAUAUAACAUUUGGGAAGCUCAUCAUCAAUUCGUUGUGGUAGCAAUUUUCUUAACAAAAACAACAAGACAUCCGUGGUCAAGUUCAUUUGGAUUGGUGGUUUGUUCCUUAUGUUCUGACUUCCCUAUAUAUCAUGUUGUGAUACCGGUGUAUAAAAAAUGCAGUUAGAAGCUAACCCACCUUGUACUCCAUAAGAUCAACUCGGUAACAUGAUUUGUCCAUUAAAUUUUUUUCCUCUAAAUUACCCAAUUUUAUAAAGUUUUUGUCAGUUUGACCCAUUUUCAUGUUUUACCCAUUAUUUUAGAAAGUUGCUCCAAGUAAUUGUUUGAUAAACACCCCCAAGGGUUUAGCAUGGACAACUAGACCCGAAAGCUUUGGGACCCUAUGUCGCUCCCUCGACUGACACGGGCGCAACACUAUCACCGCCAACCACCGCCCAUCCCUUUCCUCCUCAUCGCUGUCUACGGGUGACACUGGGCUUGGUGGCGGUGUGGCGGCUCGCCUUCUCAUGUGCAACGCUUGAGGGGCACGAGACUCUCUGCUACGCGCGCAAAUCUUGUCCGGCGUGCAGCGGCGUGGCUGCCGCAAAUCCCCAACCCCACGACGCAGCUGCAAACCGGCAGUUGAAGUCCCUCCACCCCCCAGCCACCACUCCUGUUGCGUUGGCGCCGCUGCCUCGGCCACCCCACCACCACCAUCCCUUCUUGCACCACCGCCGCAUCCACCUCGCUGCAUCCCCGCCCAUUUAUCCACGUCCUUGCAUCGCAUCCCUGUCGUUCGCUUGCACAAGCCGCCACCUCGUCGCUGUCCAAUUUCGGCCGCCUCAUCCCCCGACGGUGUCAUAUUCCCUCGAUCUAUCAUUUUGGCCAUCUGACACCUCAUUCGGUCGCCACUCCACCGCGAAUCGACCAUUGUUGCCUCCCCAUCUUGUGUCGUCGCGCCGCCGCCGUGCAGUCAGGUCUUGGUAGUCCAUCCGCUAUGCCAUCGAGAUCUCAUGUGCCGAGUCGCGGAUGUGGCUCAUCACACACCUACGACAAGCACGAGGUCCGCACGUGCGUGUAUAACCACGCGGCUUGGAGGCUUUGUCGACCCUUCUCAUGGAGUACUUCUUAUGGGGUUUCAACAUUUUUGGUCGCUAAAAAUUGUUAAAAAUGUGAAAUGGGACUUGUGUUAUGUAUGUGUUUCAAUAGUGGGCUGCAAGGCCCACGCCACACUCCUCUGAGUCUGCUAUAAACCCUAGAGCCAGCUACUCCUACUCAAGCCGCCGUCGUUCUUGCGCUCUCCUCUCCCAGCAAAGAGACCUCGUCAGAUCUGCUCCGCCACUCACCUCCCAGCUCUCCAGCUGCCCCGAGCUCGCGUAGUCGCUGUUCCCAGCCCACCCCACUGCUGCCUCCACCAAGUUCCCGUCCAACGGAGAGAGCAUGUCUUUUGGGAUGAGGCUUGUUGCCAUGGCCAGGCGGGUUGCCGCCACCGCCACCACCACCGCCAGCGCCAGCCCAUGGGGGUUUCACCGCUACUCAUCCAGCGCUACCGGUCUCAUGCACCCACGGUUUGGACGGAUUGGCUCAGAUGGCCUUCCUGAGUCAGUUGAUUGGACAAAGCAGGGUGCUGUAACCCCAGUAUCAAGUUAAGGGGAUUGUGGAAGCUGUUGGUCGUUCGCCACUACAGCAUCCAUGGAGGGCAUUAAUGCCAUAAUGUCAAAUUGUCUUGUGAAGUUAUCAGAGCAGCAACUGCUUGACUGUGUUACCUGUUCUUCCGAUGGUUGUGAGGGAGGUCGUGUAGUUCCAGCUUUCAGGUACCUUCAUAGGAAUGGAGGGCAAGUUUUGAAUGAUGUCUACCCAUACACAGCUGAAGUGAACACUGUCCACAAAAGAGUAAUUGCACCUGCAGUAUCUAUUGACGGCUUUGCUUUUACCUAUGGUGGUACCGAAAAAAAACUGAAGGUGGCUGUAGCAUCACAGCCAGUGGUGGUUGCUUUAGGGGCAGAUAAGGCAUUUGUGGAAUAUGAUGGUGGUGUUGUGGAUAGCAAGAACUAUACCCUUGCUGAACUGUCGACAAUUAAGUUCAGGGGUUCAUAUAUUGGGCACUACGUUACUGUUGUAGGUUAUGGGAUAACAGAGUUUGGUGAGCUUUUUUGGCUUGUCAAAAAUUCACGCGGGGCAAAUUAUGGUGAAGAUGGGUAUAUCAGGAUCGCAAGGGAAACUGGCAAGGAGGGAGGUGCUUUUGGGAUUGCCAGGUUCUUCGCGUAUCCAGUCAAGAAAAAUGGGAAGAAUAACAGAAGGUGCAUGGUGAGGUCUGAGGCUGAGCUGUAUGGUUGCAAGUGUAUUCACUGGAUAUGAUGAGCCAGAGGACACAUUGGAUGUGAUGAAAGCAAUGUGAACAUGAGAAAUGAGUUGAGCGUGCCCUGCAUGCAAGUUAUUCUUGUAAUAGCCUAGGGAGGUCGCCGUGUAUCUUGUGGACUUAAGAAUCAUUUUGAACCUGAGAGUGCUGGGUAGGUGAAGUUCAUCGCUGCCUGUUAAUCUUAAGUGAAUUUCCUGAUGAAA